GGUGGUGUAGCUCAGUGGUAGAGCACUUGCCUACUAUGCACAAGGCCUUGGGUUCAAUCCCCAGCAUCACCC
rfam:Heterocephalus glaber contig6030, whole genome shotgun sequence.